GCCGAACUUGGUUGCGUAAGAGUGACCCAGCUGAUAACUGCUUUAAAGGUAUAAAGGGAUCAUGGACAGCAGCUGAGGCUUGACCCUGUGUGGCAGGCCUGGAGUCCCUGAAAAGAGCCCAGGAGAGGUUAAAGGUGAAAGUGCAGCCCAGCUCCUGUAGAAGAGUCCAGCAUUUUGGAGAUGCCAGUACCAGGGGACAACCUCCAAGAACAGCAGCAGGUGUGGAGUGGAGCCAGCCUGAGCCUAGAAGACAUGUUCUGUGUGCUACAGAGGACAGAGCCAGAGAAGUGACCAGGCCCUUUGGAGGAGCUCAGAAGAUCAGGAGAGACGUCCAGACAUUGGAGGCUGAGUCAUUUACUGUUGGAACUUGGUUUUGCUUUGCUCAGGCUAUCUGUGGGCUGGUUCUUCUCUCUUGAGAGAUGCUGGAAUGAAAUUGAAGGCGGUGGGACACUCGUGUAAUCCCAACACUAAGGGAGGUUGCCACACAUUCUGGGCCAUGGACUAAUUAUACAGCAAGAGCCUGCCUAAAAAAACGUCUAAA
rnacentral:lncRNA from 1 species